CCUAGUGUCUCCACUUAGUAUAUCCCCUCCUUUGCCUUUACCCUCUGAGUGAUGGGUCUCUGAGUGAUGGAACAACUUCUCUGGCCUCGGUAAACUCAACACGUGUUCUGUUGCCCAAGACACCGUGGCCAGAAACCCCGGAAGCCCAGAAGGCAGUGCGGUCCGUGCAGUCCAAACAGGGAAGGCCCAGUCAGUGGCAGCCGAGAAAGCUACAUCCUCCGAGACUGUCCUCCGCCUGGACCUGCACAGCCCAGAAACGACGAGACUUGGCCGCAUCACAGCCUCGGAUCUGUCUCCUUGGGACAGCCUCGUGCUGAGCCCUCAGGACCAGUGUUUCUCCCGAGGAAGCCACAACCUCCUCUCAGGUAGGAAAUGAGCCCGGGAACCCCCAGGUGGAGCGGUGUCUCCUGCAGUUCUUGAGGAGCCCCCAGGGCCCAGCACAGCCGUGGGCCCAGGAACACGUGAUGGUCCCUCUGCACCGACUGCCCAAGCCCUCUUGGGAGAGGAACCCUCCCUGGGGAGAUGACCCCUCCUCCGGUUGCCCAGGGACAUUGCACGGUGUGAUUUCUCUGUGAUUUCCUGCAGUGCUGGUCACCUCCUCAAGGCUGGGAGGAAAGAAACAGCACCCCACGAAUUCUCACUACAGUUUUAUUAAAUAAGCUGAAAAAAACAAUAGAGUAUGAGGACUUUGGGGACUGUUUUGCAUAGAGCUUAGGUAAAGCCUAUCUCACUUAAAAGUUUUGUCUUUUCUUUAGUUCAUUUUUGUUUGUUUUUACUGAGUUGAAAGGCAGUUUACAGAGAAGCAGAGAGAGAGAGAGAGAGAGAGAGAGAGAGAGAGAAGAGAGAUAGCAAUCGUCCAUCCAUGGUUCACCUGCCACACCCCACACAAAUGGCUACCAUGGCUGGACUAGGCCUGUCUGAAGACAGGCACCCAAACUCCAUCCAGGUCUCCCCUGCAGGUGGCAAUGCCUCAGCUAAUUGGACCAUCUUCCUCUGCCUUUCCAGGCACAUUAGCAGGGAGCUGGAUCAGAAGCAGAGCAGCCGGGACACAAAGCAGCCUCCCAAUAUGGGAUGCCAGUGUCACAGGCGGCAGCUUUACUGCUGUGCCACAGUGCUGGUGCCCAGGCUUCUUUAAGAUUUAUUUAUUUGAGAGAUCAACGGACAGAGUUUGAUCUUCUAUCCUCUGCUCACUCCCCAUAUGGCCACAAUGGCUAAGGUGGGCUGGUUUCAAGCCAGGAGCCUGUGGGGCUGGCACUGUGGUGUAAUGGGUUAAGCCAGUGGUGCAGUGCUGGCAUCCAUAUGGGUGCUGGUUUGAGUCUCAGCUGCUUCACCCCCGAUCCAGCUCCCUGCUGAUGGGCCUGGGAAAGCUUCUGAAGAUGACCCAAAUGUUUAGGCCGCUUCUCCCAUGCUGUAGACCCAAAAAUCUCCUGUUCCAGGCUUUAGGCUGGCACAGCCUUAGCCACUGUAGCUAUUUGGGAUGUGAAUCUGCAGAUGGAAGAUUCUCUCUCUCUCUCUCUCUCUCUCUCUCUCUCUCUCUCCCUCUCCCUCACCAUUCUCUCUUUGUGUGUCCCUGUCCUUCUGUGUCUUUAUCCCUAUUUCUGUAACUCUGCCUUUCAAAUAAAUAAGAUUUGAAAAAGUUAAUUAAAAAGCCUAGAACUCUACCCAGGUCUCCCACAGGGGUGGCAGGUGCCCAUUUUUUUUUUUUAUUUUUUACUUUUAUUUAUUUAUUUAUUUAUUUAUUUUUUUGACAGGCAGAGUGGACAGUGAGAGAGAGAGAGACAGAGAGAAAGGUCUUCCUUUGCCAUUGAUUCACCCUCCAAUGGUCAUCACGGCUGGCACACUGUGACCGGCGCACUGCGACCGGCGCACUGCGCUGAUCCGAUGGCAGGAGCCAGGUACUUAUCCUGGUCUCCCAUGGGGUUCAGGGCUCAAGGACUUGGGCCAUCCUCCACUGCACUCCCUGGCCACAGCAGAGAGCUGGCCUGGAAGAGGGGCAACAGGGACAGAAUCCGGCGCCCCGACCGGGACUAGAACCCGGUGUGCCGGCGCCGCAAGGCGGAGGAUUAGCCUAGUGAGCCACGGCGCCGGCCUAGGUGCCCAUGUUUGGACCAUCUUCCGCUGGUUUCUCAGGUAUGUUAGCAGGGAGCUGGCUCAGAGCCAGGGCUUGAACAGGCACUUCAACUAUGGGAUGUAGGCAUCAUUAGCCGUGACUUAGCCCGCUGUGCCAUACACCAGCUCCCAAGAACCAAGGUUUCUUUCUUGCUCCCAAUCUGAUAUUAGCCAAGUAAAGGAGUUUUCUCGUCCUCAGAGAGGUGUCACAGACUUUUUGUCACACUUGGUGUCACUGGGUGCGGUGAUAAAUAAUCUGCUCGUGUGUUGAAUGUGUUUUAUGAACUAUUGGAAGCCCUCGUGCCCUGCUAAAGUCUGCUGGGGACCAUGUGCUAAUGGGGCAGACGUGCAGAACCAGUGACAGCCAGGUUACUCAUCACCAGAGGGAGUCUACACAAUGUCGCUUUAGCGGGGCAGCCAGACACGAAACCCCACCCUCACCCGUGGCCAGGAAGGGCAGGGGACACAGGCACAGCCCCUGGGUGGCAACCCCUGGUCACAGUGCCUGAGCUGGAUGAGCUCAUAAUGCAGGUGGCGUCCGUGCCAGGAAGAGUUCUCUCUCCUGGAGGGCUUCCAGUGGGGGCUGUGAAUGCCAGGAUGGUGGGAGCCCUCUCUCCUGGGAAGACAGCCUGUGUCUGAGAUGGAGUCCAAGGGACAGAGAGGAUCUCACCCUGAGUGCCACCCAGCCUGCUUCUUCCUUCUACUGCUGACGGGCAAUCCCGGUGUCUUCCUGUGGGGGCGCUGUGCACAGGCUGAGCAGAGCUCGGUGUUGCAACAGAGCUGUCAGUGUCCUAUCCAACAUCUCCUGUGUCGUCAAGGGAGAACACGACCCCAUUCCCCUGAGGGCCAUGCACCUGACCUCAUGGGGUAUGGGAUCCACCUGCUCUUCAGCACAACAGCUGUAUCUGGAGGGGA